rnacentral:rRNA from 1 species
UACGAAGGGGGCUAGCGUUGUUCGGAAUUACUGGGCGUAAAGCGCGCGCAGGCGGCUAUCCAAGUCAGUGGUGAAAGCCCGGAGCUCAACUCCGGAACUGCCAUUGAAACUGUUUAGCUUGAGGACGAGAGAGGUGAGUGGAACUGCGAGUGUAGAGGUGAAAUUCGUAGAUAUUCGCAAGAACACCAGUGGCGAAGGCGGCUCACUGGCCCGAUACUGACGCUGAGGUGCGAAAGCGUGGGGAGCAA